UUUAGGCUGAUAUAUUAAGUUAAGAAGCAUGAGCUGCCUUAUAACUGGGAUUAGCAGUCUGAGUCAGUAUUCUAUAAGCAAGAGUUGGCCAUAUUUUAUGGAUAUAGGUUAGUGGACUCAUCCCUCCUAUAACGUGGUGAACAAGACCAAGAUUUCAAUAAAUGAGCUACGUUCAGAUCCUAAUUUCCAGCCUCCUUGUUUGGUUUCCAGCCGAGUCCUUGCUAGUCUAGUGCAGUCCAUUCGGGUAUAAGCAAGUGUAAGGUAAACAGUUUGUGUUUCUUUCUUUUUCAUUUUGAUUAGCUAUGAAGGUAGAUGUUAUAGAAUAUUGUGAUGUUAACUAUGAUUUGUAAGGAGAUCAUAACAAUUCAUGUUGCUUAUAUUAAAAAAAAAUAAUCAAAUAUGAUGUCUUAUAAGGAGCAUGAACUAACUAAUUUGUAUGUGAUGGUUAUUUAUAUAGAAAUUCGAUUUUAUUAUGGACUGUUAUGACUGGAAUUAGAUUAAAGGAGAUAGGUUGGUUGUGUGGAGAUAUAAGGGAGGAUAAAAUGGGUUUUGGAACACAAACAAAUAGCUAUGAUUCAAGUGGUUUAAAACAGUACACACUAUGUGUUCGUUAAAAGUCCCAAGUGGACUGUUUUGUUUAAUUAUUGAGUAUUACAUGGAAUCAAAGCUUGUUUUAGAUAUGUACACCAUAUAUGAGGGUAAGUAAAGAGUUUUGACAUACUAAAUGCAAACAAAAAGCAAUUUGAAACUAAACGAAAAAUUUGAAAUAUGGUAUGUCAAACCACGUUUGCAUACUGUUUUGGACAGCUCAAAGAACUUAAAGUAUGAGCUUAAUAUUUCUAAAAUGGACUAAUAUACUAUCUUCAUCAUUCCCAAAAUUGGGUAUAACCAAGCUUAUGUUUCAAGGGUUACAAAAUUGUUAAAUGGAGAGCAGAGUAGGGGACAGGGCUGCUGUCUUUGACAGCAGCAGUUGCAGUGGCUGGGCUGGGGGCUCUCUUUUGAGCUCUCAGAUGGUAUUGUUAUGUUGUUUUAAUGAUUUAGUUAGCAUUCAAAUUAAUUAGGAAAGUAUAAUAGCUACUAUGUUUCCAAAAUGUAGUAUAGAGUAUAUAAAUUGGGGGUUAAAAAUUGAGCAUGAGGGAGGCAGGGCUGCUGCUCAUUUGCAGCAGCAGUUGACAGCUAACAGCUGCGAUAAGUAAACGUGUAAUGUAUAUGAUGAAACUAAUAGAACGGAAUGUCAUUAGAUUGGAGGGCUGAUUGGGGCUGCUGCCAAAUAGCAGCAGCAGGUAGCCACAAGUAACUGCUACUGCAGAUUAGGGGUUGUUAGGCUCAAGUGGGGGCUAUGGGGCCAACCAAGGCCACAUCAAGCUUUAGCUAAUUUCCCACAAGGCCAAGCAUAGAGGGUUGUUAGCUUGGUGCGAUGUUGAGGGGCUGUUAAUGCACAAAAGAAAGCUGCUAGAUACACCUGGUCAAAUAUAGGAACACAAAAAUUACCAAAGUUAGAGAGAUAACGGCUGCUGCUCAUAGGCAUCAUUAAUUAGCCUAUUCAAUAGCCCAGAAGCUGCUACAGCAGUUCCAUGGUUGGGGGGUUUUAGUACUUCUAAACUUUUAGGAUUGCCCAACUAAUGUGUUUUAGUAUUAGAUAAAUGUACCAUCUACAUGAUAUCCAAAACUUAAAACAAAGGAAUCAAAGGUGUGAGGAAUCAAAGCUAGUCAAAGUGAGGGACAAGAGAAGCAGCUGUUGCUUAUAGGUUGCAGCAGUUGUUAGUAAAGGACUGCUAUAGCAGUUUGGGUGGUUUAUUAACAUAAAGAGUAAUGUUUUGGUAUGCUGUUAAAACAUGUUAGUUUUAACACAUCUAUAAUGGACCCAAGUGUUAUAUAAGUGCGUUAGUACACUCUAAAAUAAAGCUAGCAUAGAUGGUCAUCUAAUUUGGAAUUAUUAAGCUUAGUUGGGACUAUUAAAGCCUUAGGAGGCUGUUUUGACACAAUAAAGAAAAAACAAGAUAGUUAAUACAUUAACGUAUUGAAGAGAAACUAUAUUUUGGGAAAGACUAAAGGCUAACCAUACAAGUUGGAAAUACCUUAAAAGUAUAAAAUAAGUUGUGGAGACAUCUUGUAUGCUAGAAGUUAAGUAAGAAAGCAUGAAAUGAUAAUGUUAUAAGCCUUUAAUAGGGUGUAAAUGAUAAUUGUAACGUGAUUACCUACUAUAAGCAUUUAAAGAUAAAAAUGACUAUUGUAAGAACAUAGAUGAGAUAUUUGAAAAAUGUAUAUAAGUAUCUCAAAAGUAACAUCACAAACUAAAGAUAUGGUCUAUGUGAUUAUGUGUUAUGUAAACAUACAAGUUAUAUAACUUGAAUACUUGGCUAAUGUGUUUGUAAAUGAAAAUAUGAUUGUGUAAGAUCUGUGGGAACAAGUUAAGCUGAAUUUGUAUAUUCAUAGUCUAUAAACAAGGCGAGUAUCUAAAUCUUACUCUUUAAUGAGCAAGUGUAAGACCCCGAAUUUUAUGAAAUGAAAGUAUUAAUUGUUUUUAUAUUUCUAUUCAGUAAAUGGUUAAAUUGAUAAAAUGUUAUAGUUAUGGGUGAUAUGUGAAAAUUUUACAAAAUAAGCAAGUUGUCAUAAAAUAUUCGUUAAGUCGGGGAAUAUUCGUUUGGUAUGAGAAUAUUUUUUUUGUUAAGGAAUAUUCGUACGACGUCGCAAUCAUUGGUGAACCCCAUAACGGAAUAAAUAUCGGAUAUAGAAAGCGACAGAAAUGAUCUUUUUAUAAAAAUAAAGGCAAAACUUUUACCGUUAACUGUUGAAAUACCCGGUGAUAAAAGUAUAAUAAUACGCGUUGUUGCACAGUAGCACACGGUAUUGCACAGUAUCUCUGAUUAUCGAUUCUUACGUAAGAAGUCACUCAAUAAUUACUACAGUAAAAAUUGCACUCUUUCAUAUUAUUGAUGUAAUAAUUGCUAUAGUGAUAAUUGAAUAGUAUUUUAUAUUAUUGAUUCAAUAAUUGUCACGACACAGUAACUCAUAUUAUUGAAAUAAUAUUAUUAGAUAGUAUUAUUGACAAUGUCUAGAAAAUUCUAUCGAUGAAAGAGUUAUGUUAUUUAAUUGCGCGCCAGUAAGGAAAAAUUCUUAUCGGAAAGUCCUCUCUUUCUUGGAAAUGAUCUGGUUGUCAAUAUUGUGAACUUAUAAUAUUAAUUGUGAAUAAUUAUUAUGUGGUGGAUAUUGGUUCAAUUUUGAUAUAAAUGAAGGAAUUUAGUAUGAAAUAUUUGUUAAAAGUUUGACAUAUUUUUCUAUAAAAUCACAAUUAUCUUCUCCGAUAAAUUAUUCAUUCAAAUAUAUUAUUAUAAUAUUACAUUAUAAUAGUAUAAUGUGAUAAUAUAAUAGUAUAAUUUUAUAAUUAAAUUGGUAAUAUUAUUAUAAUAAUAUAUAAUUUUCAGUAUGUGAAUAAAAGUGGAGUGAAAGUUAUCAUUUUAGUUUUGAAUUCCUUUUUCAAAAUAAUUCUGUGCACGUCUCCUUUUCAAUUAUCCUGCAAACCAUGUUGUCCUAAUUCAUGGGCCCUCACCCAUAAGAAUAAGAAAUGUGAGGAUGUUAGGUAUUGAAAGAAAAAAAAGUUAGGCAGAGAAGAAAAAAAAAGUUGGGUAGCUUAAUUUUUUUUUCUUCCUCCGAGUUACACUAUAAAAGGGAGGUUACCCCUUCAUCUUAAACACAUCAAAAUAUACAAGUGUUCCUACUGAAAUAUUGUGAGUAUUUCAGGAUAGUUUAUAGUGCAAGAUUUUUCAGGAUAAUAUCCGUUAUACCAAGUCAGAUCUAGUUUCUACUACUGUAAAUGAUGCUAUUUUCUUUCAAUAUUCGUAAGGGAUAUUGUUUUCGUUCAAUAUUCGUAAAGAAUAUUAUUUUAUUUUAUACUCUAUAGUAUGUAAGUAAUAUUAUUUCGUUUCAUAUUCUUAAAUUUAAAUUUAUUAUGGUAAGUAUUGAUUCUAUAAUUCCUGAAAUGAUUAGAAAUUUCUUGAAGUUUGCGCUUUAUUUAAUAUCUUUUCACUGGAAUAUUGGUCUGAACUUUCUUAUUAAAUUUUAAUUUUUUUCAUGUUGGGGUACUAUUUAUAUCGGGGUAUUAUUCAUCUGGGGUAUUAUUCAUAUCGGAGUACUAUUCACGACGGAAAUUAAUUUUUUUUUUUGUCCAAAUUUUCUUUGAAAUAUGAAUCUUAAAUAUCAUUAUUGACUUUGAAUCCAUGUUUUGGUUAUCAUGUUGACAAUUUGGAUAUUCUUGAACUCUGGAUAAAUUAAAUUAUAAAUCUCUAAUAUUUAUCCUUGAUCUCACUUGAUUCAUUCUUUAUAUCAUUGUUAUAAUCUUCAGACUUAAAUUGUGGUUAAAGUUAUCUUUGGCCCAUAGUGCGAAGAUGAAUUGUUGAUUGGUAUGAUUAUGACCAGGAACUGUGUAUUGGUAUAAUCAUGACCUUUAAUGUUAUAGAUAAAGACUUGUAAUGAAAAUUCUCUUUGGCCCGUAGUGCAAAGAAGAACUAUUGAUUGAUAUCUUUGACCCGUAAUGCAAAGAUGGACAUGUGUUUGACAUGAUCAUGGCCACUGAUGAUACAAAUGAAUAUCUUUGGUCCGUAGUGCAAAGAUAUGUUGUUUGGCAUGAUCAUUGGUUUUACAGUUGAACAUCUUUGGUUCUUGGUUCAAAGAUAGACAAUUGAUUGGUAUGAUUAUGACCAAUGAUAUUAUAGUUGAAUAUCUUUGGCCAUAGUGCAAAGAUUGACAAAUGAUUGGUAUGAUUAUGAUCAUUGUUGUUACAUUUGAAUGUCUUUGGUGUAGGGUGUAAAGGCGAUAUGAUUAUUGAGUGUCUUUAGCCUUUGUGGCAAGGACAUUGAGUGAAAGUUCUAUUAAGUCUUUGUGACAAGGAGAAACUGUUAAUUUACAUGAUUAUAAACAUGAAUUGUGAAUUUAACUAUAAUCUUUGGUAGUUCAGGUAAAGACAGGUGAUGAAAAGUUCUCUUUGUCUUGGGUACAACAAAGAACUGUUGAUGGGUAUUAUAGGAAUGAAAUAUUAAUAAUGGACUUUUAAUUUGGAGGAGAUAGUUGACAUUAUGUUCUACUUGACUCUUCUAAUGGAUUGUUGAUUUCGCUGCAAUUAUGGUUGAAAACUUUUAUCAUAUACCAUAUGUUCUAAAUAUCUUAUUUAUUAUUGAUGAAGACUAUUGAUAAUUUAAUUAUCUUAGUCAUGAUAUUCUUUACUGGGCUAAUUAAGUUCACUUUUUUCUUUCAUUGUUCUCUUCAGAAAAUGAAAAUAUAGCUGAGACUAGUCGGGGAAUGGAGUGAUGGUCGAAGAUGGUUAUUAUAGUAGUCCUCAAUACUCUAUAAAAUAGUAUGACAAUUAUUGUAAUGAGGACUUCAUUUGAGUUUGGAUAUUGUCUACGAGACAAUAUUUGUAUUAAAACUCACAGCUUAUGUUUUGUCGUAUUUUACAAGACAAUUAAUUAUUGUAAAUAGGAAGUUGUAUUUGGAUUUUGUAUCAUAUAUUUGGCGACUCAAAAUGUGUUGUGUAGACCUAUUUUGGGGGCGUCACAACAAGUGUGUUAGAAUUAUUCAUAUAUGGACAAGUUCUAUAAAUUCUGAACUGUCUCUCGUUAUUAUGAAUAAAACAAGG
rnacentral:lncRNA from 1 species